rnacentral:rRNA from 1 species
AUACGGAGGGUGCAAGCGUUACUCGGAAUCACUGGGCGUAAAGCGCGCGCAGGCGGCCAUUUAAGUUGGAUGUGAAAGCCUACGGCUCAACCGUAGAACUGCAUCCAAAACUAUUUGGCUAGAGUGUGGGAGAGGAAGAUGGAAUUAGUUGUGUAGGGGUAAAAUCCGUAGAGAUAACUAGGAAUACCAAAAGCGAAGGCAAUCUUCUGGAACACUACUGACGCUGAGGCGCGAAAGCGUAGGGAGCAAACGGGAUUAGAAACCCUAGUAGUCC